GUGAGGAAUAUUGGACAAUGGGCGCAAGCCUGAUCCAGCCAUGCCGCGUGCAGGAAGACGCAUCUAUGGUGUGUAAACUGCUUUUGUACGGGAAGAAACACUCCCUCGUGAGGGAGCUUGACGGUACCGUAAGAAUAAGGAUCGGCUAACUCCGUGCCAGCAGCCGCGGUAAUACGGAGGAUCCAAGCGUUAUCCGGAAUCAUUGGGUUUAAAGGGUCCGUAGGCGGUUUAAUAAGUCAGUGGUGAAAGCCCAUCGCUCAACGAUGGAACGGCAAUUGAUACUGUUAGACUUGAAUUACAAGGAAGUAACUAGAAUAUGUAGUGUAGCGGUGAAAUGCUUAGAUAUUACAUGGAAUACCAAUUGCGAAGGCAGGUUACUACUUGUGGAUUGACGCUGAUGGACGAAAGCGUGGGGAGCGAACAGGAUUAGAAACCCUGGUAGUCC
rnacentral:rRNA from 1 species